rnacentral:rRNA from 1 species
UGGGGAAUAUUGGACAAUGGGCGCAAGCCUGAUCCAGCAAUGCCGCGUGUGUGAAGAAGGUCUUCGGAUUGUAAAGCACUUUCGACGGGGACGAUGAUGACGGUACCCGUAGAAGAAGCCCCGGCUAACUUCGUGCCAGCAGCCGCGGUAAUACGAAGGGGGCUAGCGUUGCUCGGAAUGACUGGGCGUAAAGGGCGCGUAGGCGGCUUGUACAGUCAGAUGUGAAAUUCCCGGGCUUAACCUGGGGGCUGCAUUUGAUACUGGUAGGCUUGAGUAUGGAAGAGGGUCGUGGAAUUCCCAGUGUAGAGGUGAAAUUCGUAGAUAUUGGGAAGAACACCGGUGGCGAAGGCGGCGACCUGGUCCAUAACUGACGCUGAGGCGCGAAAGCGUGGGGAGCAAA